rnacentral:lncRNA from 1 species
UUUUUUUGCUUUGUUAUUUUGCUAUCUUUUGUCCUUUUGUUCGUUGUUUUCUCUCGUUUGUGUGUUGGACUUCGUUGUUGCAGGUGACAUGGGCGGUGAGACGCAUGCGAGGAGACUGACGGUGGUGGUGGUGGUGGCCAUUGGUGAGGAGUGCGGCGGCUGAAACUGGGGGCUAGGGCUGCUGAAAUGUUUUGGGUAGAUGGGCUUUAGGGUUUUGAUAAUUUGGGCUUGGGUAGUUUAGACCUGGAAUUAUCAUGUAAAUGGACUAUUAGACUUUUAUUAUUUAUUAUUUUUUGGUUUUAUUAUAUUGGGCCUGGGCAGAUAUGGGCUUCUACAGCUGCCUCUCUUUGCUCAUUGUCGUGUAACGAGAAUGGAGCAAAGACUGAAAGAGGGCCAAAUUUGCCCGGUCUUUGCAGAAUCUUGACAUCUUGGUAGCUUCAUUCCUAUCCACUGCGUCUUGUUGCUUCGAUCCACUUCAUGCAACUUCGGAGGUAUAGGAUCUAUUUUGAUCUGAUCUUCUGCAACUUCAGGGAGAUAAGAUUUGUUGUCUUUGAUUUGCUCCACUACAAUUUCAGGGAAACAAGAUCUGCGAUCUUCAGCCUACUCCACUACAACUUCAGGGAAAUAAGACUGGUAACUUCAACCUGCCCCACUGCGACUUCAGGGGGAUAAGGCUUACAGCUAUGAUUUAUUCCACUGAAACUUCAGAGAUUCAAGGAGAAGAGAUUUGUAGCCUCGAUCUUCUCUACUAAAACUUCGAGGAAAUAAGAAUUCAGGUAGAAGGGAUUUGUAGCCUCGACCUCCUACACUGGAACUUCGGUGAUUUAGGGAGAAGAGAUUUGUAGCUUCGAUCUUCUCUACUGAAACUUCAAGGAUUUAGAAUUCAGGUAGAAGGGAUUUGUAGCCUCGACCUACUACACUGAAACUUCGGAGACUCAGGGAGAAGAGAUUUGUAGUUUCGAUCUUCUCUACUGAAACUUUAAGGAUUUAGAAUUCAAGUAAAAGGGAUUUGUAGCCUCGACCUAUUACACUGGAACUUCGACGAUUCAAAGAGAAGAGAUUUGUAGCUUCGAUCUUCUCUACUGAAACUUCAAGGAUUUAGAAUUCAGGUAGAAGGGAUUUGUAGCCUUGACCUACUACACUAAAACUUCAGAGAUUCAGGGAGAAGAGAUUUGUAGUUUCGAUCUUCUCUACUGAAACUUCAAGGAUUUAGAAUUCAAGUAGAAGGGAUUUGUAGCAUCGACCUACUACACUGAAACUUCGGAGAUUCAGGGAGAAGAGAUUUGUAGUUUCGAUCUUCUUUACUGAAACUUCAAGGAUUUAGAAUUCAAGUAGAAGGGAUUUGUAGCCUCGACCUACUACACUGAAACUUCGGCGAUUCAGGGAGAAGAAAUUUGUAGUUUCGAUCUUCACUACUGAAACUUCAAGGAUUUAGAAUUCAAGUAGAAGGGAUUUGUAGCCUCGACCUACUACACUGAAACUUCGGAAGUAUAAAUUAUGGAUUUCAACCCGCUCCACUACCGCUUAGGGAGGUAGGAUCUACAAUUUCUAACAUGUUACCCUACUGCUUAAGGGGUUAAGGCUCGUCGUUUUUGAUCUGUACCACUGCAACUUCAGGGAGAAAAUCUUCUUUGGUGAUUUCAAUUCGUCCCACUGCAUCUUCAGAAGCGUAAGAUUUUGAUUUCUUUGGUCCGUUACACCGCUCUUUGGAGAACAUAACCUGUUGAAUCUAUUUAUGGGCCUAUGCUUUUGCCAAAUAAAUAAGAUGCUAUGAUCGAAUAAAUGUUCCUAACUAUAUGUGAUGUUUAUGUCAAACAAUUAGAAUGCUACGAUCGAAAUGAAUCAAGUGCUCCUAACUAAAUGUGUCAUGAAUGAUAUAUGAAUGCAAAAAUGAAAAUGAUCAUUUUCAAAAAAAAAAAAAACUUAAAGUGUCAUUGCUCAUUGUUCACCAGAGCCGUACUACGCUGCCGUCUUAUUUAGCUGGUAUUCUUUAUAGAAAACUCAAAGAAACAAUCUCAAUCUGCUCGGCAAGCCUGCCCCACUUAAACUUUAUGGAGUUUUUUGCUUAUCUAGACCACUGCAACUCAGGGUAUAGGAUUUGUUUCAUCUUCAAUCAAUUUGAUCUGUUACACCAUUCCCUGGGUGUAAUGACCCGCUGUAUAUGCUCGAUAUUUGCAUGAAUGCAGAGUAUUAAUUUUUUUUUCUCGAGAAUGACCCCCUUUUACACUUAGGUUGACAUUGCUCGUCAUUUGUCGAGGUCGUAUCACUGACGAAAUAUCUUGCCUCUUUAUUCAACUGAUAUAUUUGACAGAAAAUUCGAAGAGAUAGUCGCAAUUUAGAAACAUUUUCAUCCCUUAGGCUUAGUGAAUUCUAAAUGAUGGUCCAGUUUCAGGUUCCUAUACUGUUUAUAAGCUUCCUGAGUAAUAUGCAGAACCCCUUUUGCGAAUGUAUUAUUAGUCCAUUAAUCGUUAUUUCAAUGCAAAAUGCUUGAAAAAUAUCAAAACAAUGGACAAGAAGGAAAUUGAUUAGGAGCAUAGCUCGAAAUAAAUAAAUUGAUCAAAGAUUGCAAAUGCAAUAAAAGGCAAUUAACUCAACAUGAAUAAAUUAAUCAAAGAUAACGAUGCAAUAAGAAGGAAGUUUAUUGGGACAUAUCUUCAAAAAAAAUAAGGUAAUCAAAGAUAACAAAUUCAAAAAUGAGCAAAAUGGAAACUAGGUGCCCCAGAUAUCGCAGCUCGAGCUUCUCUGUACCAACUUCUUGAGGAAAUUUUUGAGCUCAAUACGUGUUUAGGGGAUCCGAAGUACUUUGUUGAUGCCCCAAGAUGAACAUAUUUCUUCUUUGUUAACGCCCCAUUUUGAUCCAAAUUUGAGCCGUCUUUUUUGGGUUUUCAACUCAAAUCUCCUUUGGUCUCAAAGCGCCCUUUGCAGGUUUUCGCUUUGGCCACUCCCUUUUUUUUCUUUUUCUUUUUUUUUAGGAUCUCAAAGCGCCCUUUGCAGGUUUUCGCCUUGGCCUCUUAUUUUCUAUGUGAAACAUUUCUUGACAAAAUCUGAAUUCACUAACUUGGGCAGAUCUUUGCCAUCUAUCUCGGUUGGUAUUAAUGCUCCUCCAAAACAGGUCUUCUUUACUACAUAAAGUCCUUCUGAGUUUAACAUUCACUUUUCUCAAAAGUUCUUUUGUAUAGGAGGGAUCUUUUCCAAUAUCAAGCUUCUCUCGUGGAAUUCUCUAGGAUAAACCUCUUUAUAGUAAAUUCGCAUCAAUCAUUUCCGGCGCAUUAGACCUCGAUAGAUAGGUUUUGACCCUUUUUCUUCAAAUUCAAUUGAUCUUAUCAAGAUUGGAUCUCUUCUGCCUUAUCCAUUUUCGGUUCUGACAAGACUCAGAGAAAAGGAAUAUCGUCUUCAAUGGCUGAGAGCGCUUCUAAUGAGAAAUGUGUUGCCCCGAUGAAAACCCUGGCCGACGUUUGGUAAGUAUAGAAGGUAAAUGGUAACUUCUUUACGUCAGUCUUUAAAAGUCUCGGUUAUCUCCCAUGAUCCUUUUUUGUUGUCUUUCUCUUUUCUUUUCUUUCUUUCUUUCUUUUUUUUUUACGAUUUGCAUUUACAUCUGCAUUUGCCUUUGCCUUUUCCGCACUGCAAUAUAGUGCCUAAUAUUUGAACAAACUGCAUACUUUUGACAUUGCAGUUGUGUUAGACAUGAUCUUUUCUGGCGUUCUUUGUUGGCACUUUUUUUUCUUUUUCUUAGAAUUUGACAACUGUCGACUAAGUGACAUUGGCACAUGAAACAACUUUCCCCUUUUUUAAAGAGUAAUCAAUGACCCCUAAGACGAAUUAGUAUCCGUUAGAAGCUUUCAAAGAGAUCGGCCUAUAAACCUUCAUGCCCCCGCAUAGAGAAAGCCUACUGAGAAAUAAAGGGGCACAUGAAUAUUGUCUCCAUAAAUUUGACAAUUACAACAUACUGAUGCAAUCUCCUUCUACAGUGAACCAGCAGAAGCCAAAUCUCAUUAUUAGCUCGGCCAUCGUAUAUGUCAUUAGUAUACAUUGUUCAAAAAUAUGCAAUAUCCUCACGUCUUAGUGGCUAGGCGUAUCUUGAUACAAUCGCGCAAAAAAUAUUUAAAUUCUUUGAAAUGACUCAAUGAUGUUUCGCUUUAUCUUUGUGGUGAUGCAGACUCCGAUGUUUGCCUAUUUCUCUUGUCCUAGGCUUACUGUCUACUGACUCUUUGUAAUGUAGGACAUCUUGUUCUACCAUUCUUAACAAAUCUGGAGAUAGGGCACCAUCUCUGUCAUCUUCAAAGUAUUGAGAUCCCUUUAGGUUAAUAUUUCACUCAAAAGGAGACUCGGAGUCGGUGACAACGUCGCUCACAUCUUUGAUAUCUAGGGACCUGUUGUAGGUACGAAGGUAGAUUCCAAAGAAUAAAUGAUUCUAAGGAUGAUUAUUUGUAUGGUAUGGUCGUGAAUGAAAAAUAAAUAAAUAUUUAAAAGAAUGUUUAAAGAACAAAUAAAUCUAAGAACGAUUAUUCGUAUAGUAUGAAAUGAGAUAAGAGAAUAUUUGCUCAAAAGAAGAUGCAUUUUAUUGAAACAAAGAUUCAGGACACAAGCCUAUUUCACAAAAGGAUUCUUAUUGCUUCUAGGCUUAAAGCAAUAAGCGUGUUUUAAAUAUUACUCUAGAUUAGCUCUAAAAAUAAAAAGGAUCGCUUCUACAGUCCCAUCGUUCAAAACACUUCCAAGUACAUAAGGGCAUAUGCUCGAAAAAUUCUAUUCUCGGGUUCCCUCUUCUGAUACAUUGUUAACGUUCGAAUUUCUCAAUAUCAGGUUUUACAAUAGAGUCCUGAGCUCGAUGUGCCAUUGGAUCUCAUACCCCUAUCCAUCAUGGAACUCGUACUAUCCACCCCUUUAACAGAAAGGUUGGAUAACAGAUUUCUUGCUCUAGAGGGAUCAUCGAAUUUCACGAUACCCAAUUUGACAAAUCUUUCGAUUAGCUUUCUAAAAGCGGUACAGUUCUCGAUGGAAUGCCCCAUGAUUUCCGCAUGGUAUUCACAUUGGCCGCUUGCAUCGUACCAUUUAGGGUAUGGAAGCUGUAUUGGUUCCAUGUAAAAAGGGGAUACGACAUGUGCGUCGAACAAAAUAUGGUACAACUCUUUGUACGUGAUUGGGAUGGGCGUGAAUUAGGGUUUUUCUGAGUUCGUUCUUCGAUUGAGCUCUUGCCUUAGGGAGGCCUGAUGGUUGGUAAUUAUCGUCCUUAGCUGGUUUACUGUAAUAAGCUUCGAAUGGCCCUUGUUGUACAUACUCGUGCUAUUUACUUCUUUUUUUUUCUUUUUUGGGGUCUUUAGAGUCCAUUCUCCCAUUUUCUUUGUUUUUGCUAGAAUAACCGGUUUAGCUUGAUCGUCUUUCGGGUUAAAACCUGAACCUGUCGGGAUAUUCAACAGUGCUGUGGUGUUUGAUUGGGUCAGGAUGCUUAUUGGGGCAAAACCUGGGGAAUAGACGAUGUCUUCAUCAUCCUCACUAUUGACCACUAGGCUACUCCUUUUUUUAAAUUCUUUGGCCAGUAACUGGGUUAACUGGCCCAUCAUAUUUCUUUGGAGUUCCAGCAUUUGUUCUCACAUAUCUUGUUGAAUUUGGAUCAAUUGCUCUUGCAUAUGUAUUUGUUUUUGCUCUAUUCUUUCCAAUCUUUGGUCCAUAUCAUUUGUCGGUUCUAAAAUAAUUUUACCUAAUUAGGGUUCUUUAGUGAAAGUUUAAUGCAAAUGAUGCAAUGCAAUGCAAAAAUAUGGAAUGAAUGCAAAAGAAAGGAAGGCGUUGAUUCUGAGUUCAAUUCCGUUAGAAAAACUUUCCUAGAAAACAAAUUCCCUUACAUAAAACGGAUUACAUAUGCAGCCUUUCUCUCAUAUUCCAAGCGAAGACGCCUAUUUUCCUCUUCAUAUCCAGAUAUUAUGGUUGAGUCUCGCGAAUUCUCCAAAAGAUGUCCCUAUCGACUCCUUUUUGCUUGAUCUGGGCCGCCACUUAUUGAUACUUAUCCCCGCGAUACUCGUCAGCUCCUUUAAGAAAGUCGAGAUGUGAUGACUAUCGAAUAAUUCUUGUUGGCUUGAAUCCUCGGGCAAUGAAACAGAGUUUCGUAUUACUCCAUUACAUAUGCAGCCUUGCCCUCGUAUUUCAAGCGAAGACACCUAUCCUCCUCUAAAUAUCCAGAUGUUAUGGUUGGAUCUUGUGAAUUUUCUAAAAGAUGUCUCUUUCUGCUCGAUCUGGAUUGCGGCCCAUUGCUCACUUAUCCCUGCAAUGCUCGUUAGCUUCUUUAAGACAUGACGGCUCUCGAAUAAUUUUUGUUAGCUUGAAUCCUCAGGCGAUAAAGCAAAGUCGUGUAUUUCUUCAUGGACUAUCAAUCUUCCUUCAUUGUGUUUACUUGGACCAUAUUUAGACAACCGUGUUAUAAUCCACUUUAUCAAGUAAUUCGUUUUCUUAUGACAAACUGUUCUAUUUAGCAAUCAAAUAUGAAUCAACACCUCCUUUCUAUGAUGAUGUAAUGCAAUGUAGUUAUAAACAAAACAAAAAAAAACAAAACACGUUAGUACAUGAGAAAUAAAUAACAAAUAAAGCACCUAGCCGGGUGACUGCUAGGGGUUCGGAGUGGCUCUACCUAGGGUAAGCUCCUAGGUCUCUAUAUGUGGCUCGGUUCUAGAGUAAGGGUACCCGAACCAGCAGAUUCAUCGAUCUUCACCCAUUAUAGGCUCAUGUAGAUCGAGUUCAGUUCAGGGGAAUACAUUUCCCUAUGACCAUGCGGAGAUGAAAAUCUCACGAAAUCAUAGGUACGGAUGUAUCCCGAAAGCAAUCUGCUAGCUUAUGCGAAGGUGAAAACCUCACGAAUGCAUAGUUUCUCACUCCCACUUAAAAGGUGUUACCACAACGGUCAUGCAAUGCAAUGUAUGAGGAUAUAUACAUAAGAAAACCUGAGGCAAUAAAGAAAAUAGAGCUAAAACGAUGAAAAUCGUAAGAAAAAUGGACGAAGUGCAACGAAGGGAUCGUAGGUUUAAAACGAAUUUUCAAUUUCGACCAAAGACAAAAAUUAAUCAAUUUAUGGCUCGACUUUCAAGUCCCCAGCGAAGUUGCCAAGCUAUCGAAACCAUUUUUUUGAAAAAACAGGGUCGACUUGGUUUGAAAGCGAAAAUUAAAACGGGAGUCGCCACCGAUCUUUAUUAGGUGUGAUCGAAUCAUAUUUGUUUUAAUAAAUCAAUUUUAGUUUACUAAAAUAGUGCCUUUGGUCUACGAAACUUGAGAGAAUGAGUUUGGGAGUCGGUUACGUGCGAGGAAGGAUUAGCACCCUCGACACGCCCAAAAAUUGGUACCGAAUUGAUUAGUUAGUGUCCUAAUGUCGAAAAUUUGAAAAUCGGGAAGGGAUUUGAAAUACGAUCUUUUCUAUUAAUAUUGACUUUAAAAUUAUUGAAUUAGCUUGAAUCGAUCGUUUAAAGAUUUCCUUAUCUCGAGAUAUCAGAGUAUCACAUCCCGUAAGUUAGGACACAAUACCAUGAAUUCCCGAGCACAAGGUCGUCUCUUAAUUUAAAUGAGAAUUUCAUGUGUUUUAAAACUCGAAAAGGAUAUUUAGCUAUUUAGAAACAAUAAAGAAAUCGAAACCCCGUAAGUUAGGGCACGAUUCCUUGAUGUUCCAAAAUGCAAAACAUUGCCUUAUUUGGAAAAUUUCGUUUUUGAAUAGUAGCGAAUUUGAUACUUAAAAAACGUGUUAUUCGUUUGGAUUCACAUAAAACAAGUUAUUGGAUGAAUGUAACGAGGUUUGAUUUAUUGGGGUGACGAUAUGAAAUAAAGGUGUAGUGCAACAUAGAACAAUGAUAAAAAUAUUACACAAGUGAAUGACAAUAAUAUGACAAUACAAAUAAGCGAAUCAUGCAAUGGAAAUAAUCGUACAACAUGCAUCGUUUAAAUACUAACAUUAACAAUCAAAGAUAAAUGAAUUAAAUAAUCAAAUAAAAAAUGAAUAGCAUAAAGUUAAUUAAAAUGAAUAAGAUGUAAGAAGAAACGAGAUUAAAAGGAUAAUAAAUGAGUUCUAAAUAAAUAAAUAGAUAAUAUGCAAAGAGAAUUUUGAAAGAAAGAUCAACCAUAUACAAAACAGUUUUAAAAGAUUAUAACAAGGUUAAAACCAAUAAUAUAUGUGUAUGCGAAAGUAUAAAACAAAUAAUAUAAAAAAUAUUAACGUAAAUAAUAAUAAAACAUUCCAAAAUAUAUAAAUAGGGUUUUAAAAUGAGAUACAUAUAACGAUUUAAAGCAAGUAAUAAAACAAUAAUUCACAAAAAACAAGUUUAAAAUAGUUUAUAAAACAAAUUUAGAGUAAAUAAUAUAAAAUAAGUUAAGAUAGUUGAUAUAUGAUUUCAAUUUAAAAUAGAAUAAAAUAAUAUAUACAUAUAUAUUAACCUUAAGUGAAUAGUUUUUUUUUAAAAAAAAUUUAAAAUAACAUAUGAAAACUUAAAAUAAAUAAUAUGUGGAAAAAGAGCUUUAGAGUAAAUAAUCUAUAAAUCUGGUCUUAACAAAAAUAAUGAAAAAGGGGUUUCGAAUAAAUAAUAUAGAGAGAGAAUAAGGAUAAAAAAUUUGGAAUAAAUAACAUAUAUAAAAACAUAAAAAAAAAUAAGUUUAAGCUGCAUAGUAUAUUAAAGUUUAAAAUAUAAAAUAUGUAAAGGUUUAAAAUGAAAUAAUCUAUACGUAAAAUAUAAAAUAAAUAAUAUGCCAAAUAAUUUAAGAUAAUAUAUAGUAAGAGAAAUAUAUAUAUGUUCAUAAUCCAAGAUAAUAUGUAGUAAACAAUUUGAAAUGUAUGCUUUAAACCAAUUUUAAAUAAACAAUAUAUAAAAUAGUUUUAAGAGAGCUAAUGUAUAUAAAAUAACAAAAGAUUUACAGCAGUUUAAAGAGUAAAAUAAAAAUAAAACAGAAAAUAAACAAAAUAAAAUAAAUGAAUUAAUGAAUAAACAGAAGCAAAUUAAAAAUAAAUGCGAAAAUAAUGAGUCGGGGACUGCUUUGUAAGUCAUCAAUAAAAAAAUGGGGUACAAUCAUAAAUACCAAAAGCUUCCAGGGACUGCAUUAGAAAGCGCGCGAAGGACCAAGGCCCGAAAGAGAAAAUAUCCCAGGUCCUUUGAUGCGCGGCGUUUUAUUAGCUCUGUCCAAGGAUUAAAUCAGAAACAGAAUAAAAUAAAUGGGCGAAAUUUAAAAAAGGAAAAAUGCAAACAGGGCUAAAUGGAAUGACUCAGGAAAGAAAGAGGGACCAUAACUGAAAUAUCCCAUUUUAGGCGCACAGACCCUUCUCCUUUGCCCAAACGACGCUGUUUCAUGCAGUAUUUAAAUCUGUUUAUUUUUUUUUCUUUUAUUUUGCUUUCUCCCUGUUUGAAAAAAAAAACAGAGAAUACUCCACUACCCCUUUUUCUCUUGCAGCUAGGGUUUCAACACCCAUCAUCGCCGGCAGUUCACUGUGCCAAACGGGGAGGGGAGCUCCGACGACGCGGCCACGAUGUAGAUCCGGUAACUCUCUUCCCCUCCUCUUUCCUUUGUCUAUUUUCGUAUAAAAAUAAAAAUAAAAAAAAAACAAAUAAUACAAAAAAUAAAUGAAAUCAGAACAUAGAACAAUACUAGAAAUAAAAUCAACCUUCCUGUUUUUUUGCUAUUGUGAUUUUGUUUGCUAAAGUUCGUAAAAAAAAGCAAAGGAAACGAAAGUGGCUUUUAUAGCCAAAUACAUAUGCUUGUUCUCAUUCUAAUUUGUCUGUUUCUUCCUUGUUUUUUUUUUUGCUUUGUUAUUUUGCUAUCUUUUGUCCUUUUGUUCGUUGUUUUCUCUCGUUUGUGUGUUGGACUUCGUUGUUGCAGGUGACAUGGGCGGUGAGACGCAUGCGAGGAGACUGACGGUGGUGGUGGUGGUGGCCAUUGGUGAGGAGUGCGGCGGCUGAAACUGGGGGCUAGGGCUGCUGAAAUGUUUUGGGUAGAUGGGCUUUAGGGUUUUGAUAAUUUGGGCUUGGGUAGUUUAGACCUGGAAUUAUCAUGUAAAUGGACUAUUGGACUUUUAUUAUUUAUUAUUUUUUGGUUUUAUUAUAUUGGGCCCGGGCAGAUUUGGGCUUCUACAAUUACCAUUGUUUUUAAUUUAAACUUAAAUACUGUUACAUUAGAGAGUU